AAAAAGGAUAUAUUGGACUUCAUUGAAAUUAUAACUGGUCAGUAAAAGAUUCUUGUUAAGGGGAUGAAAAGACAAACCACAGACCUGGAGAAAACGUGCAAAGCACAUUAUCCGACAAAGGGCAUGAAUCAGGAUAUAUAACAAACUCUCAAAAUUUAACAAUAAGAAAACCACCCAAUUAAGCAUACGAGCAAAAGAUGUGAACACUUUAACAAAGAAAAUAUUCAAACGGCAAGUAAGGACUUCCCUGGUGGUGCAGUGGUUAAGAAUCCGCCUGCUAAUGCAGGGGACACGGGUUCGAGCUCUGGUCCGGGAAGAUCCCACGUGCUGCAGAGCAACUAAGCCCGUGCGCCACAACUACUGAGCCUGAACUCUAGAGCCCGCGUGCCACAACUACGCCACAACUACUGAAGCCCGUGCGCCUAGAGCCCGUGCUCCACAAGAGAAGCCACCACAAUGAGAAGCCCGUGCACUGCAAGUACGAGUAGCCCCCUCUCGCUGCAACUAGAGAAAGCCUGAGAGCAGCAACGAAGACACAAUGCAGCCCAAAAUAAAUAAAUAAAU